rnacentral:lncRNA from 1 species
GCAUCCAGCCUUUUCCUCCUUUUGUCUGCAGGUAUGAGGUAGAUGACAUCGAUGAAGAAGGCAAAGAGUGAGUGUCCAGGCCAGGGCAGGGCAUGGAGCCUGGGGGCAGCCUAACAGCUGAGAAGGAGCAUCCCCACCCGGCCACAGGUUGAUAUAAGCCCCUCUUCCCCCAGGAGACACACCCUGAGCCGGCGCCGUGUCAUCCCGCUGCCCCAGUGGAAGGCCAACCCGGAGACGGACCCUGAGGCCUUGUUCCAGAAGGAGCAGCUCGUGCUGGCCCUGUAUCCCCAGACUACCUGCUUCUACCGCGCCCUGAUCCAUGCGCCCCCACAGCGGCCCCAGGAUGACUACUCGGUCCUGUUUGAAGACACCUCCUAUGCAGAUGGCUAUUCCCCUCCCCUCAAUGUGGCUCAGAGAUACGUGGUGGCUUGUAAGGAACCCAAGAAAAAGUGAUGCCGCCUGGCAGACUCGCCAUCCCCCAACGACACAGGGCAGGACAGCAGAGGACGUGCUGGGAUUAAACACAUUCCCCCUC